ensembl:lncRNA
ACUCACCCAGCACCAAGGGAGGAGGAUUCUUCAGCACUGAGCUACCCAGGAAGCCACUGUGGCUCACAGAGCUGUGUUAACACCACAGUACUCUCCAGGAGCACCUUAUUCUAAGGAGGAUCUGGCUGACCAGAUGGAGAAACCCAAGGAUCAAGUGGUUGGAUAACUUGGCCAAGUUCACACGAGUAGUAAGCAACAGAGCUUAGAGACUAUCACAAAUGCUACACAGCUUCUUUGUGAAGCCUCAGCAGUAGUCCAGUCUGGAUCCUUGAAGCAGAGCAUCCUGCUCUGCCCAGCUUCCCAAAAGAGCUCCAUCAGUGGUCUCCAUCAAUAGCUCCAUCAAUAGCUCUGGAGCAAAUGGUCUCAGCUCAAGUGCAAAAGGGGUGAAGGAAUUUGGUCCCAGACAUUUCAACACCCAGAGCCUCUUCUUCCUGAGCUCAUUUCUUUUAAUUUUCCCAGAAAUAACUGCCCAGUGUUCUGUUCAGUUCAGUCGCUUGGUCCUGUCUGACUUUUUGCGACUCCAUGGACUGCAGCACACCAGGCCUCCCUGUCCAUCACCAACUCCUGGGGCUUGCUCAAACUCAUGUCCAUUGAGUCGGUGAUGC